GGGGCUGACUUGGAUUUCGACAGAUUUCUUGUCGCACAGAUAGCAUGCCAAGUGCUGCUUGUAAAACAGCAACAAAAAUAACUGUAAACAACGCAGAUUACGCUCCAGCUUACGCUAAAGCUGCGUGAGUUAAUCUCCUUUUGGAGCUGGACUGAUUAGAAUUUCUAGCGUUUUAAUCACUCCAUAACCUUAAGCUAGACGCUUUUAAAAGGUGGUUCGCCUUUUAAACUAAGAAACAAGAACUCUUGAAACUACCUCAAGGUUUUAGAAAGUUGGACCAGAGCUAGUUUUAAGGCUAAAAAGCUAACCAAUUUUCUAAGCAUUGUAGAAGUUUGUGUUUAGGGCAAGAUUUUUGGACUGGGGUUCGAUUCCCCACAGCUCCACCA
rnacentral:tmRNA from 1 species